UACGGGGGGGGGCAAGCGUUGUUCGGAAUUACUGGGCGUAAAGGGCUCGUAGGCGGCCAACUAAGUCAGACGUGAAAUCCCUCGGCUUAACCGGGGAACUGCGUCUGAUACUGGAUGGCUUGAGUUUGGGAGAGGGAUGCGGAAUUCCAGGUGUAGCGGUGAAAUGCGUAGAUAUCGGAAGGAACAUCAGUGGCGAAAGCGGCUUCCUGGACCAGUACCGACGUUCAGGCACGAAAGCGUGGGGAGCAAACAGG
rnacentral:rRNA from 1 species